rnacentral:lncRNA from 1 species
UGGUAAUAUUAGUGUACAUAGUACUGGUGUGUUUUUCAUUAGAGAAGGCCUUUCAAAGCAGGAUCGUCCUGGACAUAAUGGUUCAAAAAUAUUUGUUCCAAGUUUUAAGGACAACAAAUUAUUGAAUCCGAAAAGGUCAUUGUUUUAUUAUUUGAAAAUGACAGAUAACUUCCGUAAUUGUGACAGAAGUAACAGUAAACUGUUUUUAAGUGUAAAUAGUCCGCACAACCCGGUCUCUAGUCAGACAAUUUCGAAUUGGAUUGUCCAAACCAUCCAAAUGGCAUAUAAUGACAAAAAUAAGUCUGUCAAGGCGCAUAGUACAAGAGCUAUUGGUCCUUCAUGGGCCCUAUUUAAUGGUUCAUCUAUGAAAUCCAUCAUGGAGGCAGCAGACUGGAGUAGAGAGUCUACUUUCACGAAAUUCUAUUUGAGAAAUCUAGAACCAAGCGUUUUAUCUUAAUUGUUGAAUAAGAAAAAAGAAAG